AACUAUCUAUCAUCAGAAAUGAAACAUGGAGUACGAAGAGCAGAUCUGAUGCAUGAUGUCAAAUCCAGCCAUCGGUUUUCCAAAGAGCCCAUGAUGGUCGCAAUGAUGGUUUUCCGAAGAACUAUCUAUGCAUGAGGUUUUGUUCUAUUUCCUUGAUGGUCGCAAUAAUGUAAUGUUUCCUCCUGAUAAAUUGUUUUUUCCUCUGAAGUCCGCAAUUAGCUGAACAUGUAUAGGUGUAAUUCAUUUAUUUGUUACUAGCUAUUUUAUGGCUGCAAUUUUGUUUCCUGUCUGCCUUGUAGCCUCUGAAUCUCCUGACUGUUACAAUAACGUCGUCUUCUCACAGGAAACUGUUUGAAAUAAUGAAAGCAUUUGUCUGUCAGCUGAAGAUUCGGCAGUGAGACUUUCACUCGUUUGUUCCUUUCGGAGGCUACUGAAUAUAAAAUUAUCAUGUUUGUCUCUGUACGUUGCGUGGUGCAUUUGUUUUGGUCUUAUAGGCUCUGCACAAAUGCAUAUAAAUUAUAGUUAAAUAAGGGUUUAAGUGUUGUAGAAGGAUAAAGCUAUAAAACAUCAAAGCUAAGAACAAAGUAAAAAAAUGAGUAUUGUUACCCUUUGAUGGUGUUGGAGGCGCAAAUGUGCUACUUGUAAUUAUCGCAAACAACAUUUGCAAGUCAGGAUAAAGAUUCUUGAUCUCAGCUGCCAUACUCGGCAUGCUUCUUUAGGAGCCCCUCCCUCCCUCCAAGUUUUAACUUCAGAGCCUGCAGGAAAUCAUAUCGGCGUUGAAGUGAUCGUUCAUGUCAUAUACCGUAUACAUUCUAAAUUACGCACAUUCAGAGUCGCCCACUCUAUCAACAUCUUUGGCUCAAGGCAUCAGAAUCAACUCCAUCUUUGCUAGGUUUCGCUGGCGCCGCGAGCACAAAGUCAAUUAUUGAUCGCACUUCCAGGAUUCUCAACCCGACAAAGCAUGAAUUCCCUUGUUCCCAACCCUUCCCUUUCUUUCACAGCUGCGAGUUCCAAGAGAAAUCUACAAGAAGCCAACGCUCCUGGAAGGAUCUAAAUCCAGGAAAGCAGAUCUUCAUAAGAGACUGACAGGCAGGUAGAUCCGGUACCAGGAUGCUCAUGUAGACAUCGGGAUCGGAGGGGAGAGGCGAUCGUACGAAGGGCAAGAGGCGCCGGUGCCGGUGGUGUCAGCUGCGGAGCAGGGAUCGAGGGAGUAGAAGGCCGGCGAGACGAUCCCGCGUCCGCUUCGCCGUCUCCCCGAAAGCUCAUCAUCGCCCGUCACCCCCAAAUCGAUGAGGGCUUUAAUGGCCAGGUUCAUCCUCUCUCUCUCUCUCUCUCUCGGCCAAUUUAAUGCGAUUCCAUCGAAUAGUAUUCGUAACCAUCAAAACAGGAGUAGGCGGUUAAUAUCCGUUAUAUCGUCGUGCUUGACCUAAAUGAAUU
rnacentral:lncRNA from 1 species